GUCCACGCCCUAAACGAUGUCUACUAGUUGUCGGGUCUUAAUUGACUUGGUAACGCAGCUAACGCGUGAAGUAGACCGCCUGGGGAGUACGGUCGCAAGAUUAAAACUCAAAGGAAUUGACGGGGACCCGCACAAGCGGUGGAUGAUGUGGAUUAAUUCGAUGCAACGCGAAAAACCUUACCUACCCUUGACAUGGACGGAAUCCCGGAGAGAUCUGGGAGUGCUCGAAAGAGAACCGUUACACAGGUGCUGCAUGGCUGUCGU
rnacentral:rRNA from 1 species